AACACGUGGGAACGUGCCCUUCAGUUCGGGAUAACCCAGGGAAACUUGGUGCUAAUACCGGAUACGUGCGAGAGCAGAAAGAUUUAUCGCUGAAGGAUCUGGCCCGCGUCUGAUUAGCUAGUUGGUGGGGUAAUGGCCCACCAAGGCGACGAUCAGUAGCUGGUCUGAGAGGAUGAUCAGCCACAUUGGGACUGAGACACGGUCCAAACUCAUACGGGAGGCAGCAGUGGGGAAUAUUGGACAAUGGGCGCAAGCCUGAUCCAGCCAUGCCGCGUGAGUGAUGAAGGCCUUAGGGUUGUAAAGCUCUUUCGUCCGGGACGAUAAUGACGGUACCGGAAGAAGAAGCCCCGGUUAACUUCGUGCCAGCCGCCGCGG
rnacentral:rRNA from 1 species